rnacentral:hammerhead_ribozyme from 1 species
GCACUGCUGAGGAGUCCCACAAUAGGACGAAACAGCUGUCUAUUGU